rnacentral:rRNA from 1 species
GACGAACGCUGGCGGCGUGCUUAACACAUGCAAGUCGAACGGAGCGAAUGAAAGCUUGCUUUUAUGAGCUUAGUGGCAAACGGGUGAGUAACACGUAGACAACCUGCCGACAGGAUGGGGACAACAUUCCGAAAGGAAUGCUAAUACCGAAUGAAGUCGAGGGAAGGCAUCUUCCUUCGAUGAAAGAUGGCCUCUGAACAUGCUAUCACCUGCCGAUGGGUCUGCGUCUGAUUAGCUGGUUGGUGAGGUAACGGCUCACCAAGGCGACGAUCAGUAGCCGGUCUGAGAGGAUGAACGGCCACAUUGGGACUGAGACACGGCCCAGACUCCUACGGGAGGCAGCAGUGGGGAAUCUUCCGCAAUGGGCGCAAGCCUGACGGAGCAACGCCGCGUGAGUGAAGAAGGUCUUCGGAUCGUAAAGCUCUGUUGACGGGGACGAACGUGCGAGAGGUGAAUAAUCUCUUGAA